rnacentral:rRNA from 1 species
UACGUAGGGGGCUAGCGUUGUCCGGAAUCAUUGGGCGUAAAGAGCGUGUAGGCGGCCCGGUAAGUCCGCUGUAAAAGUCAAAGGCUCAACCUUUGAAUGUCAGUGGAUACUGCCGGGCUAGAGUCCGGAAGAGGCGAGUGGAACUCCUGGUGUAGCGGUGAAAUGCGCAGAUAUCAGGAGGAACACCGGUGGCGAAGGCGGAUCUCUGGGCCGAUACUGACGCUGAGGAGCGAAAGCGUGGGGAGCGAACAGG